GACGAACGCUGGCGGCGUGCUUAACACAUGCAAGUCGAACGGAAAGGCCCUGCUUGCAGGGUACUCGAGUGGCGAACGGGUGAGUAACACGUGGGUGAUCUGCCCUGCACUUCGGGAUAAGCCUGGGAAACUGGGUCUAAUACCGGAUAGGAGCCAUUUUUAGUGUGAUGGUUGGAAAGUUUUUUCGGUGUAGGAUGAGCUCGCGGCCCAUCAGCUUGUUGGUGGGGUAAUGGCCUACCAAGGCGGCGACGGGUAGCCGGCCUGAGAGGGUGGACGGCCACAUUGGGACUGAGAUACGGCCCAGACUCCUACGGGAGGCAGCAGUGGGGAAUAUUGCACAAUGGGCGCAAGCCUGAUGCAGCGACGCCGCGUGGGGGAUGACGGCCUUCGGGUUGUAAACUCCUUUCGCUAGGGACGAAGCUUUUUGUGACGGUACCUAGAGAAGAAGCACCGGCUAACUACGUG
rnacentral:rRNA from 1 species